GAGCAUGAUUAUAGAUGAUACUUUGGUAUAAUAGUUUAGUUGUUCUGAUAAUCACUACUGCCUGUAUAUGAAUUAUAUAAAUUUCAGAGUAUGUUAGAUACAUUGAUAAAUGAAAUUCCUUGCAUUCUUAUAGGGCUAACCCCUAUGAGCAUGCAACGGUUGGCAUACCCUCAAAUUGUGAUUCUAGGGUAGGCAACAUGACAAUUAUAGUGGUAUCAGAGCAUAGGUUUAACUUAUUGGAAUCUAUCUAGGUCCUAGGUUAUGACGUACAUUGAGUGUAGAUGGAGCAGUUAUAUGAUAUUAAGAUAUAAUCCAUACCU
rnacentral:lncRNA from 1 species